UCCGGUUCAUCACCGGCAGUCUCCUUAGAGUCCCCAACUAAAUGAUGGCAACUAAGGACAGGGGUUGCGCUCGUUACGGGACUUAACCCAACAUCUCACAACACGAGCUGACGACAGCCAUGCAGCACCUGUCUCCUGGUUCCUUGCGGCACUCCCAUAUCUCUACGGGAUUCCAGGGAUGUCAAGGGUAGGUAAGGUUCUUCGCGUUGCAUCGAAUUAAACCACAUGCUCCACCGCUUGUGCGGGCCCCCGUCAAUUCCUUUGAGUUUUAAUCUUGCGACCGUACUCCCCAGGCGGAUAACUUAUCGCGUGUGCUUCGAUACUGAUAGGUCUAAGCCUACCAACAUCUAGUUAUCAUCGUUUACGGCGUGGACUAC
rnacentral:misc_RNA from 1 species